rnacentral:rRNA from 1 species
UACGUAGGGUGCAAGCGUUGUCCGGAAUUAUUGAGCGUAAAGAGCUUGUAGGCGGUUUGUCGCGUCUGCUGUGAAAUUUCGGGGCUCAACCCCGAACUUGCAGUGGGUACGGGCAGACUAGAGUGUGGUAGGGGAGACUGGAAUUCCUGGUGUAGCGGUGAAAUGCGCAGAUAUCAGGAGGAACACCGAUGGCGAAGGCAGGUCUCUGGGCCAUAACUGACGCUGAGAAGCGAAAGCAUGGGGGAGCGAACAGG